rnacentral:lncRNA from 1 species
GUUUAAUUGCUCUAAAUAGGAUGAGCCAAAUUUUCACACAUACAUAAUUUGUGACUAUAGAUUACAAAUGUUCUUCCUCAAAUUCCAGGUUUCCUUGGCAUUUACACAGGUGUAUGCAGAAUGAAAGUGGGAUUUAAGUUUUUGUAUUGGCACCCCAGUCAGGAGUAAAUUUCACCUAUUGGUUAUCAGGACUUUGUGACUCAUUCACACCUCAUCAGCAGGAUAAGCGCUCCUGCUCCAACACGUGACACAAGGCCAUCACAAAACCCAGAUGCCAA